GACGAACGCUGGCGGCGUGCCUAAUACAUGCAAGUCGAACGAACUCUGGUAUUGAUUGGUGCUUGCAUCAUGAUUUACAUUUGAGUGAGUGGCGAACUGGUGAGUAACACGUGGGAAACCUGCCCAGAAGCGGGGGAUAACACCUGGAAACAGAUGCUAAUACCGCAUAACAACUUGGACCGCAUGGUCCGAGUUUGAAAGAUGGCUUCGGCUAUCACUUUUGGAUGGUCCCGCGGCGUAUUAGCUAGAUGGUGGGGUAACGGCUCACCAUGGCAAUGAUACGUAGCCGACCUGAGAGGGUAAUCGGCCACAUUGGGACUGAGACACGGCCCAAACUCCUACGGGAGGCAGCAGUAGGGAAUCUUCCACAAUGGACGAAAGUCUGAUGGAGCAACGCCGCGUGAGUGAAGAAGGGUUUCGGCUCGUAAAACUCUGUUGUUAAAGAAGAACAUAUCUGAGAGUAACUGUUCAGGUAUUGACGGUAUUUAACCAGAAAGCCACGGCUAACUACGUGCCAGCAGCCGCGGUAAUACGUAGGUGGCAAGCGUUGUCCGGAUUUAUUGGGCGUAAAGCGAGCGCAGGCGGUUUUUUAAGUCUGAUGUGAAAGCCUUCGGCUCAACCGAAGAAGUGCAUCGGAAACUGGGAAACUUGAGUGCAGAAGAGGACAGUGGAACUCCAUGUGUAGCGGUGAAAUGCGUAGAUAUAUGGAAGAACACCAGUGGCGAAGGCGGCUGUCUGGUCUGUAACUGACGCUGAGGCUCGAAACGUAUGGGUAGCAAACAGGAUUAGAUACCCUGGUAGUCCAUACCGUAAACGAUGAAUGCUAAGUGUUGGAGGGUUUCCGCCCUUCAGUGCUGCAGCUAACGCAUUAAGCAUUCCGCCUGGGGAGUACGGCCGCAAGGCUGAAACUCAAAGGAAUUGACGGGGGCCCGCACAAGCGGUGGAGCAUGUGGUUUAAUUCGAAGCUACGCGAAGAACCUUACCAGGUCUUGACAUACUAUGCAAAUCUAAGAGAUUAGACGUUCCCUUCGGGGACAUGGAUACAGGUGGUGCAUGGUUGUCGUCAGCUCGUGUCGUGAGAUGUUGGGUUAAGUCCCGCAACGAGCGCAACCCUUAUUAUCAGUUGCCAGCAUUAAGUUGGGCACUCUGGUGAGACUGCCGGUGACAAACCGGAGGGAGGUGGGGAUGACGUCAAAUCAUCAUGCCCCUUAUGACCUGGGCUACACACGUGCUACAAUGGAUGGUACAACGAGUUGCGAACUCGCGAGAGUAAGCUAAUCUCUUAAAGCCAUUCUCAGUUCGGAUUGUAGGCUGCAACUCGCCUACAUGAAGUCGGAAUCGCUAGUAAUCGCGGAUCAGCAUGCCGCGGUGAAUACGUUCCCGGGCCUUGUACACACCGCCCGUCACACCAUGAGAGUUUGUAACACCCAAAGUCGGUGGGGUAACCUUUUAGGAACCAGCCGCCUAAGGUGGGACAGAUGAUUAGGGUG
rnacentral:rRNA from 1 species